rnacentral:tRNA from 1 species
GCCGGUGUAGCUCAGUGGUAGAGCGUUUCCUUGGUAAGGAAGAGGUCAUGGGUUCAAUUCCCAUCAUUGGCUCAA